GUAGGGAAUCUUCCGCAAUGGACGAAAGUCUGACGGAGCAACGCCGCGUGAGUGAUGAAGGCUUUCGGGUCGUAAAACUCUGUUGUUAGGGAAGAACAAGUGCUAGUUGAAUAAGCUGGCACCUUGACGGUACCUAACCAGAAAGCCACGGCUAACUACGUGCCAGCAGCCGCGGUAAUACGUAGGUGGCAAGCGUUAUCCGGAAUUAUUGGGCGUAAAGCGCGCGCAGGUGGUUUCUUAAGUCUGAUGUGAAAGCCCACGGCUCAACCGUGGAGGGUCAUUGGAAACUGGGAGACUUGAGUGCAGAAGAGGAAAGUGGAAUUCCAUGUGUAGCGGUGAAAUGCGUAGAGAUAUGGAGGAACACCAGUGGCGAAGGCGACUUUCUGGUCUGUAACUGACACUGAGGCGCGAAAGCGUGGGGAGCAAACAGGAUUAGAUACCCGAGUAGUCC
rnacentral:rRNA from 1 species